UGGGGAAUUUUGGACAAUGGGCGCAAGCCUGAUCCAGCCAUGCCGCGUGCGGGAAGAAGGCCUUCGGGUUGUAAACCGCUUUUGUCAGGGAAGAAAUCUUCUGAGUUAAUACCUCGGGAGGAUGACGGUACCUGAAGAAUAAGCACCGGCUAACUACGUGCCAGCAGCCGCGGUAAUACGUAGGGUGCAAGCGUUAAUCGGAAUUACUGGGCGUAAAGCGUGCGCAGGCGGUUUUGUAAGACAGAGGUGAAAUCCCCGGGCUCAACCUGGGAACUGCCUUUGUGACUGCAAGGCUUGAGUGCGGCAGAGGGGGGAUGGAAUUCCGCGUGUAGCAGUGAAAUGCGUAGAUAUGCGGAGGAACACCGAUGGCGAAGGCAAUCCCCUGGGCCUGCACUGACGCUCAUGCACGAAAGCGUGGGGAGCAAACAGGAUUAG
rnacentral:rRNA from 1 species